GAUCCUGGCUCAGGAUGAACGCUAGCGGCAGGCCCAACACAUGCAAGUCGAGGGGCAGCGGGAAUGAAGCUUGCUUCAUUUGCCGGCGACCGGCGCACGGGUGCGUAACGCGUAUGUAACCUACCCUGAACUGGGGAAUAACACUGAGAAAUCGGUACUAAUACCCCAUAAUACACUGGAAGGCAUCUUUUGGUGUUGAAAGCUCCGGCGGCUCAAGAUGGACAUGCGUUGUAUUAGCUUAGG
rnacentral:rRNA from 1 species